rnacentral:rRNA from 1 species
GACGAACGCUGGCGGCGUGCUUAACACAUGCAGGUCGAACGGAAAGGCCCUGCUUUUGUGGGGUGCUCGAGUGGCGAACGGGUGAGUAACACGUGAGUAACCUGCCCUUGACUUUGGGAUAACUUCAGGAAACUGGGGCUAAUACCGGAUAGGAGCUCCUGCUGCAUGGUGGGGGUUGGAAAGUUUCGGCGGUUGGGGAUGGACUCGCGGCUUAUGCGCUUGUUGGUGGGGUAGUGGCUUACCAAGGCUUUGACGGGUAGCCGGCCUGAGAGGGUGACCGGCCACAUUGGGACUGAGAUACGGCGCAGACGCCUACGGGAGGCAGCAGUGGGGAAUAUUGCACAAUGGGCGGAAGCCUGAUGCAGCAACGCCGCGUGCGGAAUGACGUGCUUCGGGUUGUAAACCGCUUUCGCCUGUGACGAAGCGUGAGUGACGGUAAUGGGUAAAGAAGCACCGGCUAACUACGUG